rnacentral:lncRNA from 1 species
GUGCAAAAACCUGAAUUUCAAGUUUUUGAUUCUAAAGGCUUGGGAGGAGAAAAUAAAUUAGAAAAAAAUUAUUUUCUUCUCCAUCUUUUCUCCACCUUUUUAUCUCUUCUAUAAGUCUAUCUUCAACUUCUAGAAAGAUUCCAAAGAUUUGAAGAAAGGAUCUAGAUCAGUCAAGAAGAAGUUCUUUGUGCGAGCUAGCACUCUCGAGAAGACCGAUCAACUCAAGGCUUUGAGUGGAUUUCUCAUA